rnacentral:tRNA from 1 species
GCCGAUGUAGCUCAGUUGGUAGAGCAGCGGUUUUGUAAACCGCGGGUCGGGGGUUCAAUUCCUCUCGUCGGCU